rnacentral:lncRNA from 1 species
CUUGCUCAACAUCGGAGUCGCCAUUCUGUUUAUUAACUUUUUCAUCUGAUGAGAUGUCGCGGUAGCAAAAAUAGAGAAAGGGUAGAAAAAAGGGACAUUAAAAUUAAAAGCAAAACCACAAGAAGGGAAAGACCGCAACUCGGACAGCCCAGCGACUUCCAAGUCCUCUCACAGAAGAACCACACGAUUGGGUAUCACUCACAGUUUGCCUUUUUUUCUGGGGUCGCUCCAUCACCCAAACAAAAGAACAAGGUUUGCCAGGAUGUCCGAG